rnacentral:lncRNA from 1 species
UUGACAAUUAUACAGCUUACGGUAAGGCGCCGAAUAGUUGCUGAGCAGGCAGAGCAGCCAGCAACUAUCACGUGAAAGUCGGGCUGCGUCGACCAAACAGAUUGCAAGAAAUGUUAUAGUUACCUGGAAAUUUAUGCUAAAUAUAUAUUGUCAGACUAUCACUAUUAUUAUUAUAAACGAAUUCAUAUACAAAAUAGCUACAUGUGGAAGUUCACAACAAACUGUUAUCAAAAGAGAUCAUGUAAAACUGUACUAAAAACUAAAUAUUAAAUACAAUAUAUACAUGCAAUAAAACUUUCGUUACUCAUCAAUUAAAAGUUUGAAUUGUUCAAAAGUCAUCCACGCGUGUUGUGUAAGAAUCAUUAAGCCCUCUUCUGAAACAUUGCGAAGUCCCAGCUUUACGAAUUUUCAACGGGAGUUCGUUACGCAACUUUCCUCCAUUGAAAUAAAAACUCUACUUUGCAGUUUAGGGUCUUACUUUUGGAAGUCUUACCGUGCACCCCUGAUUUCUAGAUGCUACUUCAGAGCCGCCUCAACAAACUUAUUUCCAAAGCUGUGUGAAACUUGAAGAGCGUAAAGGCGGAUACACACCAGCACACCGGACGCCAUUCGGCGACGCGGCGCGAUUUUUAUUUUUUCAAAAGCAAAUAAAUUGGUAUACAAAAGAAAACAUUGGUAGAUAUGAAAAGUAGAUGAGUUCAGCAGUUGAAAUAUAGAAUUUUUCAAAGAGCAAAUUUGCCGACUUUUGAAAACCAGAAAAUUGCGGCGCAUUGCCAAAUCGCGUCCAGUGUGUGGGCCUCAAAAGUCUUUAAAGAUUUAAAAUCGUCAUCUGCCCGUCGUUUGGUAGUUCCUAUCGUGACUGGACCCUUCCAAGAUCAAGCUGCAUUCGUCCCAGCCCAUGAAACAACAUUUACCCACAAGAUCCGGGCCCCAUACAGUGAUUCCAUUACAGAACACACGUUUUGCACUCAAGACUUGGGCUGAUUAGGUUUCUUAUUUAAUAAGACAAUUGAGGAGGACACAUGGAUAAACCUUUGAUUUCAAAUUGCAGUCUAUGUCUACACCUAAUGUGAUUGAUUCAAAGAGUUUCUCUCAAUUCCUCCUAUAAUCCAACGCACUGAAGAGGUAAGGUAAACUUUGUCCGACUCAUUCGCAUGUACUCGGUUUUCCCGGAAUGGAGGAGUCAAGCAAAAAUGUCAGCACCAGAGGAAUGGACUUUACCUAAAAUGAUAUUGAAGAUUUUUGCAAUUAGAUCUGGUUUUGGCCGGUGCAGUGGCAUAAAGGGUCGUAUCG